CCGUGACCAUUUUGCCCUUCCUAUUGGCCUUCCACGAAUCAAUGAGAAAAUAACAACAGUCUCUUUUCUUUCUUAUCUAAUAUUUCAUCAAUUUGGCUCGACGGUUUGUAGGUCAGGAUUCGAUAGUACCACGAUGGACCUAACUUUACGAAACGUUUCGCUUUUUUUCUUUUUUUUUUUUUGAUAAUAUCGAAAAGUAUAAAGAGAAAGUCGAUAUAUAUAAGUCGAUGUUAUCGUUUUUUUUUUUUUUUUACAGAUAAACGUGUAAAGGAUAUACAUAUAUGAAGAUAAAUUUUAUGCGCGGUUUAUUUUGUUGAAAAAUUUGUUAAAAAAGUUGUGCAAGCGUUUCCUUUCGACUAUAUAUAUAUCGUUAGCCGUAUCGUUGAUAAGAAGCUUAAAGCUUCUGUAACAGGCAUAAUUUAACGAGUUAAUCGGCUACGGAUGGAGAAUUUAAUUAAUACCAACCUGAUGGAAACCUAUAUAAACCUCUGGGACAACAAUAUCGUUUAUCGAUAUAGUUGGAUUACGAAGAGAUAGAAACAGCUGUUCGAAUAAUUAAUCGAAAUAAAUAAUCGAAUUUUUUUUCGAGAAUAAUCUUUAAAUUAAAAUGGAUCGAAACGAUGAAAAGGAAUGUAAAAAUUUUCGUCGAAAUAAUAAUUGAAGGAACAGGAGAGAGAGAGAGAGAGAGCACGUGCUUCAGAUUUAUCGCAGGAUAUAGUCGUAUCGUGAUUGGCGUGCCAACAAACUCGACGACUAUCGCAAUUCUCCCCAUCCUAAAAUCGAUAUCGUCACAGGUACACUGGUAACCACGCAAGGAAACUGUAAUCGAUAAUGGGCGAGGAAUCGAUCGAGUCCUCGACGAUCUAACCUAUACACGUCCGCCAUGUUCUACUUCUUCGAUUUCACGAAGAGAAGUGUUCUUUCCUCGAUUCGAUGAAAUGUCGAAAGAUAAAAUGGAUAAAAAGGAAUACGGAUAGAAAGCAAGAACAUAUGGAUGGCGAUAAGUUAUAUUCCUAUCUUUCCUACUUUCCAGAUAAUUAAAUUUAGCUUCAAUCGCGUCACCAGAAACAUUAAUUGUAGAAACUGCCAAAUUGAAAAAUUUAAGGAAAGGCUGUAGCGAAGCGAGGUCACGUAACUCGAUGGAGAAGAAAAAUUACGUGCAUGUCGAUUUAUAUUUAGAACAUCCAAAUGAAAUCCAGUAGCGCGCCGCUCGAGCUUUGUACAUGCUCUAAACAACAGAUAUUCUACGCUGUACAAAAAAUAUUCCAAGCGAAGAUAUAAAAAGGGGGGGGGGAAAAAAAGAAAAGGAUACACAGAAGAAUAGAAAAUUUUGAACGAGAUGAAAUUGAGAAAAGCAGCGAUCUAUCGAGAAUUCUAUUUAGCAUAGCACAGAGAAAAAACGGAAUCGACGAUGCGGCCAAGAAUAUUGGACGAUAUUGGAAAACAAUCGAACGCGUCGUCUGCACGUAUACACAACGGCGGAGCUCUAGCUUUGCUCGAAUUUCGUAAUGACGUAAUUGAGAAAGUUUCGGCGAAGAGCGUUGCUCCAAUAUCCCGAACACUUGUCCAUAGUGUCUCUCUGAAGGCGCACGCGUAAUACCGAGCACGCGGUCACCGUUGAAACUCCAGCCUGAAACGGAGAAUUCGUUUAAGAGGGAAAAGGACCUGCCA
rnacentral:lncRNA from 1 species